AAGUAAAAGUCGUAACAAGGUCUCCGUUGGUGAACCAGCGGAGGGAUCAUUACUGAGUUACCGCUCUAUAACCCUUUGUGAACAUACCUACAACUGUUGCUUCGGCGGGUAGGCCGUCCCCUGAAAAGGACGCCUCCCGGCCCGGACCGGACCCCCCGCGGGACCGGACCCGGCGCCCGCCGGAGGAUAACCAAACUCUAUUGUAACGACGUUUCUUCUGAGUGGCAUAAGCAAAAUAAUCAAAACUUUUAACAACGGAUCUCUUGGUUCUGGCAUCGAUGAAGAACGCAGCGAAAUGCGAUAAGUAAUGUGAAUUGCAGAAUUCAGUGAAUCAUCGAAUCUUUGAACGCACAUUGCGCCCGCCAGCAUUCUGGCGGGCAUGCCUGUUCGAGCGUCAUUUCAACCCUCAAGCUCUGCUUGGUGUUGGGGCUCUACGGUCGACGUAGGCCCUCAAAGGUAGUGGCGGACCCUCCCGGAGCCUCCUUUGCGUAGUAACAUUUCGUCUCGCACUGGGAUCCGGAGGGACUCUUGCCGUAAAACCCCCCAAUUUUCCAAAGGUUGACCUCGGAUCAGGUAGGAAUACCCGCUGAACUUAAGCA
rnacentral:rRNA from 1 species